rnacentral:lncRNA from 7 species
ACAUGUUUUCCCACAUAAGCUUCCUGCUCUCUUUGAAACUUCAACCAUUUUAUGGAGAAUCCAUCCAUCGAGCUGUAAUUGAAGUCAUUAUGGCACAAAGGAAUAACCAAAAGAGCAGAACUAAAAAUGGUCCUCAUGAGCAAACAAACAAGCAAAAUGAUGACCCUUCACAAACAGUAAUGAUGGCACUUACCUGGAAAGUGGAAAAAAUGUCCCUAUUCUGCUGGAGGUACUUUUAAUAUCAGCCACUCAAGAAAGCAACUGAGUGCCCAGGAAAUUCAGCAAGGAGAUGGUGGCAAGAAAAUAAUCUGUGACUGUCUCCGUGUGUACAACACAGGACAGGUUUCAGCAGGAAAAUGAUCAGAAAAUCAACACUGAAUAUCUCACUCAGUGGUUAAUGAUCUUGAAGAAAGUUUCGUAAAAGCUUAUCUGCAUUUCCAAGAACUCUUUUGUUUUAUGUUGAAAUACUCUUUGAAGAAAAGUGAGGUGCUUUCUCUGCUUCUCUGCUCAGAAUUUCUGGCUUGUGCCUUAGUUGAUUUUGGGAGCUAUAUGAAAUGUCAUGGUCAUUUCAGUUAUACUAAAACUUACAGUUUUUCUUAUCCUCACACAGAAAGACCAAACACUUAAUGGAUUUCAUUCUGGAGGCCUAGGACAGAAAAAUAGAAUGUACUGCAUACAUUUUUCAUAAUUAGCCCUAGGGCUGGAGGAUCUAUGACAUACAAGACAAUGAUAAUAAGUUUGUUCUGCAAUAUCUAUCAAAGGCUUAAAUUACACUUCUGUAUAUGUCACUUUCUCCUCACAUUUUCAUGAUUUUACUGCAAAAAGUAAUUAUAGUAUUUGAGGAAAGAACAGCCCAAUCAAAUUUUUGUUCCAGCUUUUCCAAAGUAGAAAGUAAGUUGAAUUCAAUGUCACACUUAAUAUUAACCUGACAUUUUGUUGUUUUGUUUUUUGCUAAGUGGCCAAGAAAAUAUGAUGAUAGCUGAGAAGUUUAAGUGAAAGAAACAUAUUAUUUUCAAUUUGCUAAAAUUCAUUUCUUUUGUUCCUUCUGUCUCUAAGUAAUAUGACAUAUAUAUGCAACAGUAAGCACAACAGUAAGCUAAUAUUUUUAUGACCUUCAGUAUUAUGGUAAUUUAUUUAAAUGUUCUUUGAUAAUUAAGAGUAUUUCACAGAAAAGGCAACUAAAUUACUUUUACCAAUUAAUUAUAUCUUUUAAAUUAUUGAAGUGAUCAAUUAUCAUAAUCAACAAGCUUUACGGAAAUAAAAUAACAACUGAAUCAGAAAUG